rnacentral:rRNA from 1 species
UUUAAACAGGUCUGUGAUGGCCUUAGAUGUUCUGGCCGCACAGCGCGCUACACUGGAGGAGCAGCGAGUAAUUCCUUGGCCGGAAGGCCCGGUAAUCUGGUAAACUCCGUCGUGCUGGGGAUAGAGCAUUGCAAUUAUUGCUCUUCCAACGAGGAAUCCUAGUAAGCGCAAAGUCAUCAGCUUGCGUUGAUUACGUCCCUGCCCCUUUGUACACACCCGCCCGUCGCUACUACCGAUAUGAAUGGCUCAGUGAGGCGUCCGGACUGGCCCAGGGAGGUGGGCAACUACCACCCAGGGCCGGAAAGCUCUCCAAACUCGGUCAUUUAGAGGAAGUAAAAGUCGUAACAAGGUCUCCGUUGGUGAACCAGCGGAGGGAUCAUUACCGAGUUAUCCAACUCCCAACCCCUGUGAAUUAUACCUUUAAUUGUUGCUUCGGCGGGACUUCGCGCCCGCCGGGGACCCAAACCUUCUGAAUUUUUUAAUAAGUAUCUUCUGAGUGGUUAAAAAAAAUGAAUCAAAACUUUCAACAACGGAUCUCUUGGUUCUGGCAUCGAUGAAGAACGCAGCGAAAUGCGAUAAGUAAUGUGAAUUGCAGAAUUCAGUGAAUCAUCGAAUCUUUGAACGCACAUUGCGCCCGUCAGUAUUCUGGCGGGCAUGCCUGUUCGAGCGUCAUUACGCCCCUCAAGUCCCCUGUGGACUUGGUGUUGGGGAUCGGCGAGGCUGGUUUUCCAGCACAGCCGUCCCUCAAAUCAAUUGGCGGUCUCGCCGUGGCCCUCCUCUGCGCAGUAGUAAAACACUCGCAACAGGAGCCCGGCGCGGUCCACUGCCGUAAAACCCCCCAACUUUUUAUAGUUGACCUCGAAUCAGGUAGGACUACCCGCUGAACUUAAGCAUAUCAAUAAGCGGAGGAAAAGAAACCAACAGGGAUUGCCCCAGUAACGGCGAGUGAAGCGGCAACAGCUCAAAUUUGAAAUCUGGUCCCCAGGGCCCGAGUUGUAAUUUGCAGAGGAUGCUUUUGGUGAGGUGCCUUCCGAGUUCCCUGGAACGGGACGCCAUAGAGGGUGAGAGCCCCGUCUGGUUGGAUACCGAGCCUCUGUAAAGCUCCUUCGACGAGUCGAGUAGUUUGGGAAUGCUGCUCUAAAUGGGAGGUAUAUGUCUUCUAAAGCUAAAUAUUGGCCAGAGACCGUAUUUAGCCGCACAAA